rnacentral:rRNA from 1 species
GACGAACGCUGGCGGCGUGCCUAAUACAUGCAAGUCGAACGCAGUGGGGACGGGUGAGUAACACGUGGGUAACCUCCCAUCAGAGGGGAUAAAACUUGGAAACAGGUGCUAAACCGAUACUGAUGGAUGGACCCGCGGGGCAUUAGCUUGUUGGUGAGGUAACGGCUCACCAAGGCUACGAUGCAUAGCCGGCCUGAGAGGGUGAUCGGCCACACUGGGACGGAGACACGGCCCAGACUCCUACGGGAGGCAGCAGUGGGGAAUCUUCGGCAAUGGGCGAAAGUCUGACCGAGCCACGCCGCGUGAGUGAAGAAGGUUUUCGGAUCGUAAAGCUCUGUUGUUGGAGAAGCGGUAUCUACCCAGAAAGCCACGGCUAACUCCGUGCCAGCAGCCGCGGUAAUUC